UACGUAGGGUGCAAGCGUUGUCCGGAAUUAUUGGGCGUAAAGAGCUCGUAGGCGGUCUGUCGCGUCGAUCGUGAAAACUUGGGGCUUAACCCUGAGCUUGCGGUCGAUACGGGCAUGGACUGGAGUUCGGCAGGGGAGACUGGAAUUCCUGGUGUAGCGGUGAAAUGCGCAGAUAUCAGGAGGAACACCGGUGGCGAAGGCGGGUCUCUGGACAAGUAUUGACGCUGAGGUGCGAAAGCGUGGGAGCAAACAGG
rnacentral:rRNA from 1 species